rnacentral:snRNA from 3 species
GUGCUCACUUCAGCAGCACAUAUACUAAAAUUGGAACAAUACAGAGAUUAGCAUGGCCCCUGUGCAAGGAUGACACGCAAAUUCGUGAAGCAUUCCAUAUUUUU